rnacentral:lncRNA from 1 species
AAUUAUAGGCUAAAUUACAUAAAACCUUCCUGUCAAAACCCGAUUUUUCACUUUCCCCCCCGUCAUUUAAAAACCUACACUUUGCCCCCUUGUAAAAUGAAAAAUGUGCACUUCAUCCCCUACCGUUAGUAUUUCGUUAGAGUUCCGUUAAAAAAUAUUAAUUUUAUGCCAAAAAUAACCCUCUGCCCUCUUUCCUGUUGCUUUGCCUGCCUCGCCGUCGCCUCGCCACCCCGCCGCCGCCUCGCUGCCUCGCCGCCCCGCCGCCACCUCGCCCGCCUCGCCCUCCUCCACUCCCUCGCCCUCGCCCUCGCCCCCGCCCUCGCCCACAUCCCCUUCACCCUUCUCCGCCGCUCGCCCUCGCACGCCUCUCCAUCCAUGCCCACUCCAAUCUCCUCCCUAUCGUCGUCGAAAUAGGGAGGCAACGCGAGUGCAGGAAGAGCGGGGGAGCAUGUGGAGGAAAAUGGAGUCGGAGCUGCGGUUGAGCGAGGCGCGAAGAACGGAAGAGGAGGGGCGACGGCUGAGCGAGGUUGGAGGAGAAGACGAAGAUGGUGAGAGCAUUUUGGUCAUUUUGUCACGGUGUACCCCCCCGUAAAUAUUUUUCAUUUUACAAGGGGGCAAAGUGUAGGUUUUUAAAUGACAGAGGGGGAAAAGUGAAAAAGUGGGUAUUGACAAGGGGGUUUUCUGUAAUUUAGCCAAAAUUAUAUAUUUGGUAUCUUUGUUAGGAUUUUCAUAAAUUGUGGCCUAAUUAAUCAUAUUUAAAUUUGAAAUUACUAUAGAAGGUUAAUUCUAAUAGAUAUAUAACUACUUGAUAUAGUAUAUUUUAUUCCUAUCCUAUUUAUUUAAAUUAAAUAGAAUUCUAAUCAGACUUUGAUGGAAAGUCGAUCUGAACUCUAUUGUUCAUGCCACCUUCUCAUAUACUCAUUCUGGUGAAGAAUUACUAUUAGUUUCACACUAUACGGUAGAGUACUUGAGAAAGGAGAAAAAAAAUCAAAAUUUUCCAAUUCGGUUCGUGACUUUCAGAUCAUAAUCGAACUUCUCGCUUCUGCAGGUUGAUCAAGAAUUUCUUCUCUAUAGCGCUCUGUGAGUUAUUUUAUUAUAUUUUGAUACUAAAUUUUGGUAUGUAUUUAAUUUUUUUAUUAUUUUACAUACGUAUAAAGAUCUAUCAAUUGAUAUUAGAGCCAGAAAUGAUAAAUUAUACAUUGUUUGCUUUAUUGAAUUGGAUUAAAUUUUGAUAUUAAAAAAAAACUUUGAAAU